rnacentral:rRNA from 1 species
AUUGAACGCUGGCGGCAGGCCUAACACAUGCAAGUCGAACGAGUGGCGGACGGGUGAGUAAUGUCUGGGAAACUGCCUGAUGGAGGGGGAUAACUACUGGAAACGGUAGAUAAUACCGCAUACCAUCAGAUGGGCCCAGAUGGGAUUAGCUUGUUGGUGGGGUAACGGCUCACAAAGGCGACGAGCCCUAGCUGGUCUGAGAGGAUGACCCGCCACACUGGAACUGAGACACGGUCCAGAGUCCUACGGGAGGCAGCAGUGGGGAAUAUUGCACAAUGGGCGCAAGCCUGAUGCAGCCAUGCCGCGUGUAUGAAGAAGGCCUUCGGGGUGUAAAGUACUGUCAGCGGAGAGGCGUUACCCGCAGAAGAAGCACCGGCUAACUCCGUGCCAGCAGCCGCGGUAAUUC